rnacentral:rRNA from 1 species
CAGGGGGAUAACAGCCAAGAAAUGACUGCUAAUACCGCAUAAGACCACAGCACCGCAUGGUGCAGGGGUAAAAAACUCCGGUGGUACAGGAUGGACCCGCGUCUGAUUAGCUGGUUGGUGAGGUAACGGCUCACCAAGGCGACGAUCAGUAGCCGGCUUGAGAGAGUGAACGGCCACAUUGGGACUGAGACACGGCCCAAACUCCUACGGGAGGCAGCAGUGGGGAAUAUUGCACAAUGGGGGAAACCCUGAUGCAGCGACGCCGCGUGAGUGAAGAAGUAUCUCGGUAUGUAAAGCUCUAUCAGCAGGGAAGAAAAUGACGGUACCUGACUAAGAAGCCCCGGCUAACUACGUGCCAGCAGCCGCGGUAAUACGUAGGGGGCAAGCAAAUAUCCGGAAUUACUGAGUGUAAAGGGUGCGUAGGUGGUAUGGCAAGUCAGAAGUGAAAACCCAGGGCUUAACUCUGGGACUGCUUUUGAAACUGUCAGACUGGAGUGCAGGAGAGGUAAGCGGAAUUCCUAGUGUAGCGGUGAAAUGCGUAGAUAUUAGGAGGAACAUCAGUGGCGAAGGCGGCUUACUGGACUGAAACUGACACUGAGGCACGAAAGCGUGGGGAGCAAACAGGAUUAGAUACCCUGGGUAGUCCACGCCGUAAACGAUGAAUACUAGGUGUCGGGGCCGUAGAGGCUUCGGUGCCGCAGCCAAAGCAGUAAGCAUUCCACCUGGGGAGUACGUUCGCAAGAUUUA